AUAGCUUAAAACCCAAAGGACUUGACGGUGUCCCACNCCAUCUAGAGGAGCCUGUUCUAUAAUCGAUAACCCCCGCUUCACCCAACCACUUCUUGCUUNUUCAGCCUGUAUACCUCCGUCGCAAGCCCACCGUGUGAACGCNNNNNAAGUAGGCUAAAAGAUCUAACNCAUCAACACGUCAGGUCAAGGUGCAGCCCAUGUAGUGGAAAGCAAUGGGCUACAAUUUCUAAAUUAGAACAAACGAAAGACUACAUGAAAAACAGUCNUGAAGGUGGAUUUAGCAGU
rnacentral:rRNA from 1 species